GAGGCUGGGGAUGUCUGGGCUGCAUGGGGCUGAUCCUGCUGCCUCAGGCGGGGGUUGAGCUGGACGUGCCUCUGGCUCUGGGAUUUGGGAUGAGGAACCCAGGUGUGCGAGACGGGGAAGGGAGCGGCUUGUGCUGCACUCACUGCUUGCUCUGACACCUCCUUCUCUCCCGGUGCUGGAGAUACUGGUGACACUGGGGCUGUCCAACACAUCAGGAACACAUGGGACAGCUGUACAGAAGAUCCACGCCCUGGUGCUUUCUUCCAGUCCCUGUAAGCAAUGGGGAAGGGGGGAGCCAACAGCCCAGACCCCUGGGUACUCGCCCAGCUCAGGGACAGGAACAGGAACAGGAACAGGGACUGGUGGCUUGGAGCAGGGGGAGCUGGAGAUCCCAUUAUGCCCAGCCCAGCACCAUCCCAGCACCAGCUGUAUUGGGAAGCCUGGUUAUACCCAGCCCCCAGUGCCCACCCCAGAGCUAGUUGCAGCUCAGGCCCCUGCUGUAUGCAAUCCCAGUGCUCCCUUUCUGGCUGGGGUGGGUCUCGCCCCAUGUGCUGUCUGGGGGGUGUUGAGGGGGUCCAUGUCUGCAUGAAUGUCCCCUCAGUCUCCUGCAGCUUCCAGCACCUCCAAGGGUUCAGCUACUUCUCCAGUUCCUUUCUCAGCAGCCAGCCAUGCAGAGACCAUCUUGGACCUCCCCAGCACCAACCUCAACUAUUGAGCCUGUGUCAAGUGCUGUAGAGAAGAAAGGAGGCAGCUGGUCACCAUUAAGGCAGCACAGCAGCCAGCAUCUCCAGCCUGUCCUUGCAUGCCAUCAACCCGACACAUUCAGCCUGUCUCAAGUCCUGUAGAAAGCACAGGUCAAAGGUGAUGAGUGGGUCAGUGGCAGAGCAGCAGCAUGAGAGGAGUCCACGUAGACUGAAUCCAAGGAGCCCGGGAAGAUGGUUCAGCAGAACGAGAAGCGUCCGACCUGCUCCUUCUUGGAGAUCAAGGCCAAGAAAACAAUGACUGCACAGGAAAGAAGCUCUGCUCUUCACGUGAGUGCUAAUGCCCCCCCUGGCUCCCACCUCCCAGCAGGGCGGAGGCCUUGCCCCCUGUGCCUCGGCUCGCUGGGGUCUGCGGGGAGCUCGGCACACUGCGGUAGUGUGAUGGAGGGUGGAGGGGCUCUGCAAUUUAUGUGAACACCACAACACCGCCCCUCUUCUUCCGGGAGGUCGAAGGGACCAGGCCAAAGCGGGUGCUGCUGCUUCCCCUGUCUGGGAACAAAUGGAAAACAACCCGAACACCAGGUUUUCUACCAAUGCGUGUUCUAGCACCGUGCGCUUAGCCCGGCCCACUUGGGGGUUUGCUUGAUGGCACAGCGUGAUUUGCUGGGCACGGGGAUGCACAAGGAUCCACACCUUUAGUGCCAGCAUUCAGUGUUACAGUGACAGGUUUCAUGCACUGAUACACAGCUUUAUGGAAGAUUUUGUCCUGCAAAAUUGGGAAUUAUACAUGUAAAAUUACAUUUUAAAUAAAAAUGCUAUGACAUGCACA